rnacentral:rRNA from 1 species
CUGAGGUUACUGCUAYCGAGAUUCGACUAAGCCAUGCGAGUUGAAUGUUCUUCGUGAACAUGGCGGACUGCUCAGUAACACGUGGACAACCUACCCUUGGGUCCGGCAUAAUCCUGGGAAACUGGGAAUAAUUCCGGAUAGGUCACCGAUGCUGGAAUGCGCGGUGGCCGAAAGCUCCGGCGCCCGAGGAUGGGUCUGCGGCCUAUCAGGGUUGUAGUGGGUGUAACGUACCUACUAGCCUACGACGGGUACGGGUUGUGAGAGCAAGAGCCCGGAGAUGGAUUCUGAGACACGAAUCCAGGCCCUACGGGGUGCAGCAGGCGCGAAAACUUUACAAUGCGGGAAACCGUGAUAAGGGGAUCUCGAGUGCCAGCAUAUAAUGUUGGCUGUCCAGAUGCCUAAAAAGCAUCUGUUAGCAAGGGCCGGGCAAGACCGGUGCCAGCCGCCGCGGUAACACCGGCGGCCCGAGUGGUAACCGCUAUUAUUGGGUCUAAAGGGUCUGUAGCCGGCCAGGUAAGUCCCUUGGGAAAUCUGGCAGCUCAACUGUCAGGCUGCUAGGGGAUACUGUUUGGCUUGGGACCGGGAGAGGUGAGAGGUACCUUGGGGGUAGGGGUGAAAUCUUGUGAUCCUCGAGGGACCACCAGUGGCGAAGGCGUCUCACCAGAACGGGUCCGACGGUAAGGGACGAAAGCUAGGGGCACGAACCGGAUUAGAUACCCGGGUAGUCCUAGCCGUAAACGAUGCUCGCUAGGUGUCAGUCACGGUGCGACCGUGAUUGGUGCCGUAGGGAAGCCGUGAAGCGAGCCACCUGGGAAGUAUGGCCGCAAGGCUGAAACUUAAAGGAAUUGGCGGGRGSASYACWWCAACGGGUGGAGCCUGCGGUUUAAUUG